rnacentral:lncRNA from 1 species
GGCUGCAAAUGAGUAUUUAAUAUUGUUGGAAACAGGAUGGCUUAGUUUCAACACCAAGAGGGGGUGAAUUAGUGAGGUUCAAAAAUCAGAGUCUUUUUAAAAUCUUUUUCGCAAAGUGUAAAGCUUUACAAAGUUUCUUGAAUCGCAAGGAAUAAGAAGUUUAAGUGCAACGGAAAAAUAAAGUUGACUAUGCUAAAUGUAAAGUCGACUUAAAGUAAAUAGUGUAGGGAAAGAGAAAGCAAACACAAAGUUUUUAUACUGGUUCGGCCUCCAUGCCUACAUCCAGUGUCCUUCCACAACCAGGAAACCAAUGCACUAUAUUAGUCAGGAUUUUUACACGAGAUUUCUAUAGAGACCUCCACGUCAAAAGUAUAGACAAUCUCUCUAACCCUCUAACUAAAAGUAUAGGCAGCAACAUAAAGAUCUACAACAACAUAUCCCCUCUUCUACAAUCUUCAACCCACUUUGAACAAUCCUCAAAGUGUACAGAACUCCACGUUCUCUUCCUGUAAUC